AGUCGAGGGGCAUCAGUUUGGUUUGCUUGCAAACCAAAGCUGGCGGCCGGCGCACGGGUGAGUAACACGUAUCCAACCUGCCUCAUACUCGGGGAUAGCCUUUCGAAAGAAAGAUUAAUAUCCGAUAGCAUAUAUUUCCCGCAUGGGUUUUAUAUUAAAGAAAUUCGGUAUGAGAUGGGGAUGCGUUCCAUUAGUUUGUUGGGGGGGUAACGGCCCACCAAGACUACGAUGGAUAGGGGUUCUGAGAGGAAGGUCCCCCACAUUGGAACUGAGACACGGUCCAAACUCCUACGGGAGGCAGCAGUGAGGAAUAUUGGUCAAUGGACGCGAGUCUGAACCAGCCAAGUAGCGUGAAGGAUGACUGCCCUAUGGGUUGUAAACUUCUUUUAUAUGGGAAUAAAGUUGUCCACGUGUGGAUUUUUGUAUGUACCAUAUGAAUAAGGAUCGGCUAACUCCGUGCCAGCAGCCGCGGUAAUACGGAGGAUCCGAGCGUUAUCCGGAUUUAUUGGGUUUAAAGGGAGCGUAGGCGGAUUGUUAAGUCAGUUGUGAAAGUUUGCGGCUCAACCGUAAAAUUGCAGUUGAUACUGGCAGUCUUGGGUGCAGUAGAGGUGGGCGGAAUUCGUGGUGUAGCGGUGAAAUGCUUAGAUAUCACGAAGAACUCCGAUUGCGAAG
rnacentral:rRNA from 1 species